AACGCUAGCUACAGGCUUAACACAUGCAAGUCGAGGGGCAGCAUUUUAGUUUGCUUGCAAACUAAAGAUGGCGACCGGCGCACGGGUGAGUAACACGUAUCCAACCUGCCGAUAACUCGGGGAUAGCCUUUCGAAAGAAAGAUUAAUAUCCGAUGGUAUAUUAAAACCGCAUGGUUUUACUAUUAAAGAAUUUCGGUUAUCGAUGGGGAUGCGUUCCAUUAGUUUGUUGGCGGGGUAACGGCCCACCAAGACUACGAUGGAUAGGGGUUCUGAGAGGAAGGUCCCCCACAUUGGAACUGAGACACGGUCCAAACUCCUACGGGAGGCAGCAGUGAGGAAUAUUGGUCAAUGGGCGAGAGCCUGAACCAGCCAAGUAGCGUGCAGGAUGACGGCCCUAUGGGUUGUAAACUGCUUUUAUAAGGGAAUAAAGUGAGUCUCGUGAGACUUUUUGCAUGUACCUUAUGAAUAAGGACCGGCUAAUUCCGUGCCAGCAGCCGCGGUAAUACGGAAGGUCCGGGCGUUAUCCGGAUUUAUUGGGUUUAAAGGGAGCGUAGGCCGGAGAUUAAGCGUGUUGUGAAAUGUAGACGCUCAACGUCUGCACUGCAGCGCGAACUGGUUUCCUUGAGUACGCACAAAGUGGGCGGAAUUCGUGGUGUAGCGGUGAAAUGCUUAGAUAUCACGAAGAACUCCGAUUG
rnacentral:rRNA from 1 species